rnacentral:rRNA from 1 species
GUGGAUUAGAUACCCUGGUAGUCCACGCCGUAAACGAUGGAUACUAGCUGUUGGGAGUAAUCUCAGUGGCUAAGCGAAAGUGAUAAGUAUCCCACCUGGGGAGUACGAACGCAAGUUUGAAACUCAAAGGAAUUGACGGGGGCCCGCACAAGCGGUGGAGCAUGUGGUUUAAUUCGAUGAUACGCGAGGAACCUUACCAAGGCUUAAAUGUAGUUUGACAGAUUUGGAAACAGAUUUUUCUUCGGACAAAUUACAAGGUGCUGCACGGCUGUCGCCAGCU